ACCACUACAUUCUUCAUUCCUUAACAAAAGUUUAAGUGCAUAUGACUUUCAUCAUCAUGGUUUGGUGAAAUGUGCUUGUAAAUAGAAAGUUGUGUACUUUCUAUUUCUUUUAGGAUCAUCAUAGUUUUUAGCGAUUGUGAAAAGGUUUUUUGAAUUAGGGUGAUUCAAAUUCCACCGUAGCAAUUGAUAUUUGUGUAUGUUUUAAAAGGUUGUAAAAAGGUCUUGGUGAAGACUUGUACAAUGAUCUAAACAUAGUAGAAAAUCCUCUAAGAAAUAGAGGGACUAGAUGUACCCUUGGUUGAUAAGGGGAACAAGUAUAAAUAUUGUGUAUUCUUUAUCUUUAUGCCUUAUUAAAAGAUAAUAAACUUUGUAUAAAAUCAAGAAAAAUCCAACAAAUCUAAUUCAUCCCCCUCUUAGAUUGCUUCACAUACUUACAUAACCACUAAUUAAAAAAGAAAAAUCCAACAAAUCUAAUUCAUCCCCCUCUUAGAAAAUCCUAUCUUUGGGUUUGCCUUUUUGCAGGGGUCAUCAAACACCUCUUUGUUGGUGUUUUGCCUUUGUGGUUAUAUGUUCAUUGCUUAUCUAACCACUAAUUAAAAUAAAAAAAUAUGGCUUGAGUUUAUUGUGCAAGGUAGGUCUUGUCAUCAAGAGUAUCAAGCAUGGCUCCCCAACUAGGGUUUUGUUGAUUCCUCAAGUCAAAGUAUGCUCAACCAUUGAUUCUCAAGGGGUUUAUCUCUCAAUACAUGAUCUCUAAGGUUCUCAAUCACCUUUCAAUUUCAUUUUGAACAAGAUAUCUCAAAGUUUUAUUGCUAACUUCUAAAGAAAAGUCAAAGGUUCAUGUGUUUAUUUCCAUGUCUUCUUCAACAAGUUACCUCAAACUUUGAGCAAAUUAGUGAAGAAGUGAUGGUAAUAGGAGUCUUCAUGACAAUAUACCGGAUUUUAUAAACAUUUUCAUCAUUAGAAUGAGUCUAAGCAUUCACCAAAAUGUUUUUGACAAUGAUGGGAAAAAUUGGUCCAAGAAGCAUUUCAAAGUAUUUUCCCCAAUGUUGAAAGGCAAUAAGACUAUGAAUGUUUGAACCCAACACGUUUAACUCUUUAAAGUUGACCACAUGUUCAAGAAUAGUAAGAAGCUUGGUUUCGUGACCUUUGAAGGUUUUUCAAGAGAAGGCCAUUGAAAGGAUAUGAGCAAACAAAAUGAGAGUGAAAGAAUAGAAGAAGUGAUUAUGAAAGGGAAUAGAAAGUGACAUGGUUUAUAUAUAGGUGGAGGAGUGGAAGUGAAAAAGAUUUGAAUGAAUCUAAGAUCAGAAAGAAAUGAUAGAGGACUCAAAUGUCACUAUGAAAAUUGAAAAUAAAUUGUAUAACACGAUAAGAUUGAAUAGGGAUGAUCUUGCUAUUCUAACUAAUUAAUGACAUAGGAGCGCCAGAGCAUGAUUUUAUUUUAUCCAAGAAAAUAAUAAUUACCCAGAGGUAUUUUCCAGCGUUUUUUUUACAGCUUAGAAGGAUAAUGGGAUAACUUGUCACACCUCUUAGUCAUAACAACAUACUUGAAUUUAACCAAUAAUAUUUCAGAGAUAAAAAGAUAGAAAAACCCCAAAGGGGUUCUAACAUGGAAUCUUCUGACCAAGACAACCUUCUCACUAAGAGAGUUGGAUGGUCCAGCGACAAACAACUUAGAAUCAAAUCCAUUUUGAUGGUACACUUUUAGAGAUAUCAUCAUUCACUCAAGACAAUUUUUCUUUUAAGUUCUUCUAAAAGAGAAGAAUCUUAUUUUAAGUAAGGGGUUUUUGAGAAGAUAUCAUACCAUUUAAAGUUUCUAUUAAAAUAUUUUAAAAUACCCUUCUGAAUAGGUUACGAUGAAAUAACGUUUAGCUUAAUAUGGUUAGCACUCUGAAUGCACAAUAUGAUUUUUAGAUAAACGAAAAGCAAAAGAACUUAUCAAAGGGAAAAGGAAUGUUAAUUUUAUUAAUUUGAUAACCUUAUAGUUCAGAGAAUCUGAGAAUUUGAGUGUUACAUCCAUAUACUUAUUACUCCCAUGAGGCUUAAGUUCCAGAUCUUGGAGCAGACACCUUCUUCUUUUUGAAGGUUGAGAGCAUCCAUUUACUAGGUCCCAGGAUUGAUGUUUCAACCUUGCUCCCCAGGAUAUCUCGUUUGGGUUAGAUAUUGUUUUUGAUGGAGAUUCUGAUCCUGGUUUUUGAUGGAGAUUUUGAUCCUGGUUUAGAGACAACUGCUUUUGUGCUUUCCAUUAAUGCCACAUUGUCGCAACCCGAAAAAAUACAGGGGUGCGAAAAAAAACAACCGGCGAAAGAAAAUGACAGAAGAGUCGCCACCGUGCGUUAUUUAUCCCAAAGGAGGGAAAGGAAACGCUCGAAGUAAAC
rnacentral:lncRNA from 1 species